rnacentral:rRNA from 1 species
UACGGAGGGGGCUAGCGUUGUUCGGAAUUACUGGGCGUAAAGCGCGCGUAGGCGGCUUAGCAAGUUAGAGGUGAAAGCCCGAAGCUCAACUUCGGAAUUGCCUUUAAAACUGCAAAGCUAGAAUCAUGGAGAGGUUAGUGGAAUUCCGAGUGUAGAGGUGAGAUUCGUAGAUAUUCGGAAGAACACCAGUGGCGAAGGCGACUAACUGGACAUGUAUUGACGCUGAGGUGCGAAAGCGUGGGGAGCAAACAGG